rnacentral:rRNA from 1 species
ACGCUGGCGGCAGGCCUAACACAUGCAAGUCGAGCGGUAGAGAGAAGCUUGCUUCUCCUGAGAGCGGCGGACGGGUGAGUAAUGCCUAGGAAUCUGCCUGGUAGUGGGGGAUAACGUCCGGAAACGGACGCUAAUACCGCAUACGUCCUACGGGAGAAAGCAGGGGACCUUCGGCCUUGCGCUAUCAGAUGAGCCUAGGUCGGAUUAGCUAGUUGGUGGGGUAAUGGCUCACCAAGGCGACGAUCCGUAACUGGUCUGAGAGGAUGAUCAGUCACACUGGAACUGAGACACGGUCCAGACUCCUACGGGAGGCAGCAGUGGGGAAUAUUGGACAAUGGGCGAAAGCCUGAUCCAGCCAUGCCGCGUGUGUGAAGAAGGUCUUCGGAUUGUAAAGCACUUUAAGUUGGGAGGAAGGGCAGUUACCUAAUACGUGAUUGUUUUGACGUUACCGACAGAAUAAGCACCGGCUAACUCUGUGCCAGCAGCCGCGGUAAUACAGAGGGGGCAAGCGUUAAUCGGAAUUACUGGGCGUAAAGCGCGCGUAGGUGGUUCGUUAAGUUGGAUGUGAAAUCCCCGGGCUCAACCUGGGAACUGCAUUCAAAACUGACGAGCUAGAGUAUGGUAGAGGGUGGUGGAAUUUCCUGUGUAGCGGUGAAAUGCGUAGAUAUAGGAAGGAACACCAGUGGCGAAGGCGACCACCUGGACUGAUACUGACACUGAGGUGCGAAAGCGUGGGGAGCAAAC